AGAAUCAACGCUGGCGGCGUGCCUAACACAUGCAAGUCGAACGCGAAAGGGGAGCAAUCCCUGAGUAGAGUGGCGAACGGGUGAGUAACACGUGGGUGACCUGCCUUCGAGUGGGGGAUAACGUCCCGAAAGGGACGCUAAUACCGCAUAACAUCCUUCCUUUGAACAGGGAGAGAUCAAAGCCGGGGAUCGUAAGACCUGGCGCUUGAUGAGGGGCCCGCGUCCGAUUAGCUAGUUGGUGAGGUAACGGCCCACCAAGGCGACGAUCGGUA
rnacentral:rRNA from 1 species